GCACCUGCAGCACAUGGAGGUUCCCAGGCUAGGGGUCUAAUUGGAGCUAUAGCCGCUGGCCUACACCACAGCCACAGCAAUGCCAGUUCCGAGCUGCAUUUGCAACUUAUACCACAGCUCACAGCAACACCAGAUCCUUGACCCACAGAGCGAGGCCAGGGAUCGAACCCACAACCUCGUGGUCCCUGGUUGGAUUAGUGUCUGCUGUGCCAUGAUGGGAACUCCCUGGAGUCUAAAUAAUGAUAAGGACAAAUGACUCACCAAUUCCAGGAUGAUCUGCAGGUUUACUCAGAUAAAGAUUCUUAUUGCAUGAGGUCAUCAGUAUAUAUAGGUCAAGAGGAGAUGAGCCCUGGGCUUAAUGCCUUUUGUCAUGGUUUUGGGUGAUGUGUCUAUUCUUCGCCAGUUAUAUUUGGGGUUUGUAACAAUGCCUCUUUUCUUAUCAAAGACCCAGAUUCAGCACAGUUGGAUGAGGCUUAAUCCUAGAACUCUGGAUUUUUCCUGCAGUCAGAGUUCAAAGAUGGUACUUUGCCCCAGUUAGUAUGGAGCAGAUGUAGUCACCCUGGGGAAACUUGAAGUCUUCUGUGGAGUUGGGGUGACAUGAUCUUGCCAUGUAGUGAAAUCCAGGGUCAGGUCAAGUUUGUCCAGGCUUCUCUACUGCACAGCAGGUUCUCAGCAUCCUGGCCAUGCUUCAGUAGCUGAGGGUCUGAGGUCCUGAGCAGACACCCCAUCUUCUCAGGCCUGACUUCUCAUUUUACAGACAACUGAGGCCAGACAGGGCCAUUCAGAAAUGAGUAAUCCCAGAAAUAUGACUCCUUUUCUUUGGAGAAAGUUUGACAUAAUGCUCUUUUGCUUUGCUAUAGUCUUUCAUCACUCUAGCACUGAUCAAAUAUAUUCUUAUUUUCCAGACUCUAAUGAAAAUCCUGUAAUCUGAUUUGGGCCCUGUUGUGCAAAGCUACUCUGCUUCCUUGCAGAAAAACUCACAUUUAAUUAUGUAUAAUCUUUAAACAAUUGAAAUCAAGUUUUUCUCAUUUAUAGUGAUUAUUUUUAAACCAAAGAUAAUAAUCAUCAUGUUUCAAAACGUUUUAUUUGUCAAAAAAAUUCAGCACUACUGAUUUAAUACAACUUGCAAACCUUGAGGAUAUGCCUCAUUCCUUUGCUGGUAUUGUUUCCUGUAUGUAAAUAACCUGACAUAAUCUCAUUUAUCACAGUUACUUCUCCUCUGGGGAGCUCCCAUUUCCUGCCACCUUAGCCUCCUACUUGUACAAAAACAUUGGAACAUGGAGCUAAAAACCGCAACUGAACAACUCAUUGAAAAAACAAGCAAUCAAUUACAUGGGUAAAUAACCUAUUGGUAAGAAGUGUUGUUUAUGAAAGGGAAUCUCAGUGAGGGAAUGGGCAAAAGACAUUUGCAUAAAAUAUCCCUGUGAGAAACUCCAUGAACUCAAGCCUAUCUCUCUAGUCAAGUGAUGACUGGAAUUCUUGGAAAUGCUGUCUGGCUGUGGAGCAAAACCAGGUGGUGGUAAAUGCUUCACCAUGUGGCACCAAGGGGCAAAGGCUUGGGGACCAGCAUGAAUUAAUCACAGGCUUUUAGGAUGUCAUCACAUUCUUUGGGUCUGGCUUUGGUGAAUUCCAAAGUAAAAGCUGAGAGAGAAAGACCAUUUUGGUUUCAGAAUUUUCUUCUUAAAAUACCAGCAUUGCAACCGAAAGUUUCCUUUGAUGUCAGGAGCCUAGAGUCUUUAUAGAGUGGUAAUCCACUGCACCUGGCAGAUGAGUUCAGUGUCUCCUGUAAAAGGGGCAUUGAAGGACACACUGGCCUUAGAUAAGGUCUCAACCAGUGAUGAAGCUGUCAAGAAUGCAGAGCCUCCACGGUGGAGCAACCGACCCAAAACAUCACUGAGGGCAUUUUGCCUGAAAUAGCCCAUUUUGUAGAGGUCCAUUUACUGUUCUUUGGUUAACCUUUAAAAGAGACACACUUUAAAAAAAUUGAAAUAUAGCUGAUUUACAAUAUUAUGUUAAUUUCAGGUGUACCACAAAGUGAUUCAGGUAUAUAUAUAUAUUUCAGAUUAUUUUCUAUUAUAGGAUAUUAUAAGAUACUGAAUGUAGUUACCUGUACUAUACAGCAAAUUACUAUUGCUAGUAAUAGUAAUAGUAAUGACUAUUUACUAUAGUAGCUUAUAUCCAUUAAUCCUGUACUCCUAAUUUAUUCCUUCAUCCCACCUCUUUCCUUUUUGGUGAUCAAAAGUUUGUUUUCUAUGUCUAUGAGUCUGUUUCUGUUUUGUAAAUAGAUUCAUUUGUAUUAUUUUUUUAGAUUCCACAUAUAAGUGAUAUCAUGUAAUAUUUGUCUUUGUCUGAUUUACUUCGCUAAUAUUCUUUGGUUUGUCUAUGUUGCUGAAAAUAGCAAUAUUUCAUUCUGUUUUUAUGGCUGAGUAGUAUUCCAUUGUGUAUAUAUACCUCAUCUUCUUUUUCCAUUCAUCCGUCUAUGGACAUUUAGAUUACGUCCAAUGUUUUGACUAUUGUAAAUGGUGCUACUAUGAUCUAUGAUCAUUGGGGUGCAUGUAUCUUUUUGAAUACAGUUUUCAUAUUUUAUGGAUAUAUUCCCAGAAGUGGGUUUGCUGUAUCAUAUGGUAACUCUAUUUUUAUUUUUUUUUGCAAUGUACUUUUCUCCAUACUGUCUGCACCAAUUUAGAUUCCUGCUAACAAAGUAGAAGAGUUCUGUUUUCUCUGCAUUAUCUACACCCUCCAGCAUUUAUUAUUUGUAGACUUUUUUUUUUUUAAAUGGCUGAACCCACUGCAUAUAGAAGUUCCUGGACCAGGGGUUGAAUAUGAGCCACAACUGCUACCUAACACCACAGCUGUGCAAUGCUGGAUCCUUAACCCACUCUGCAGGGCCAGGGAUCCAACCCAUACCUCCACAGCAGCCCAAGUUGCUGCAGUUGGAUUCUUAACCCACUGAGGCAGAAUAAUAACUCAAGUAGUUAGUGUAGGAGUAUGGGCUUCAAUGCAUUCUUUGAUAUGGCUAUUGAUUAACAUUUAUGGCCUAAGGGCUCCAGGGAGUAACAUCCCCACAGGCCUUGUUUACUGUAGGGAGUGUACCUAUAUCCAGAUGGACAUUAAUCCCUAACCUCCUGUGACUCAGUUUAUGGGAAGAAAAGGGCAAAGAAACCAUGAGACUUAUGGGGCAUUUCCACCCCAAGACUCCUAUUGGACAAGGACCUAUAGAGGUAAUUAGUUAAGGCCAAUGGGAGAAAACCACAUCUUUCUGGACCCCAGGUUGGUAUCCUCCCUUCUUUAAGAGAUUAAAAACCCCUACAAAACAAUGGGAACAUGGGCUCUUUUCCCACCUCCUAGCUGUCCUGGGAGCUAUUUGCUUUCCUGUAAUAAAGACUUUGCUUGCUUGCUGCCUGUGUGUUUGCAAAGUUCAUUCUUCAGCUGCAGGAACAAGAACCUGGAUUCCACUAACAUCUUUCUGGCAUCACCACUGCACCACAGCAGAACUCCUAUUUGUAGACUUUUUGUUGAUAGCCAUUCUGAUUGAUGUAAAGUGAUACCUCUUAGUGGUUUUGAUUUGCAUUCUCUAAUAAUUAGUGAUGUUGAACAUUUUUUCAUGUGCCUGUUAGCCAUCAGUAUGUCUUCUUUCAAGAAAUGUCUAUUUUAGGUCCUCUACCCAUUUUUUGAUUGGGUUGUUUGGUUUUUUUUUGAUAUUGAGUUAUAUGAGCUGUUUGUAUACUUUGGACAUUAACCCCUUGUCAAUCACAUAAUUUAAAAAUAUUCUCUCCCAUUCAGUAGGUUGUCUUUUCUUUUUGUUGAUGGUUUCCUUUGUCUUAGUAACACUUUUGGAUAUGUCUCCUCAGGCAAGGGAACAAAGGCAAAAACAAGCAAAUGGGACUACAUCAAACUGAAAAGAUUUUCACAGAGAAGGACACUAUCAACAAAACAAAAAGACCACCUACUGAAUGGGGAAAGAUAUUUUCAAACCGUGUAUUCCAAAGGGGUUAAUAUCCAAAAAUAUAUGAAGAACUCAUACAACUCAACAUAAAAAAAACCCAAAACCCAAUUAAAAAAAUGGGCAGAGGGUCUGAAUAGACAUUGUUCCAAAGAAGACAUACAUAUAUAUAUAUAGAUGGCCAACACGCACUUGGACAGAUGUUCAAUGUUACUAAUCACUAGGGAAAUACAGAUCAAAACCUCAGUGAGAUAUUGCCUCACACCUGUCAAAAUGGCUAUUACCAAAAAGACAAGAAAUAGUAAGUGUUGAUGAGGUGUUCCCAUUGUGGUGCAGUGGAAAUGAAUCCGACCAGUGACUGUGAGGGUUUGGGUUUGAUCCCUGGCCUCACUCAGUGGGUUAAGGAUCUGGCAUUGCCAUGAGCUGUGGUGUAGGUCAGAGAUGUGGCUCGGAUCCAGUGUUGCUGUGGCUGUGGUGUAGGCCAGUGGCUACAGCUCCAGUUUGACCCAUGGCCUGAGAGCCUCCAUAUGCCAUGUGUGCAGCCCUAAAAAGCAGGUACAUGCUUAGAUAUAGAUAUUAAAUAGUAUUGUAAAUGAAGAGUUAAAUUUGCUUGAAAAAGUUUAAAAAUGUUAAAGUACAAGACACAUGACAUUUAAAUAGUCAGCUAAUAAAAAUAAUCAGACUAGCAUAAGCAAAUGAAUGAGAACAUGUGAAAAUCCCUCAUCUAACAGGGGACUAAACAGUUAUUAAAUUUUCUUGAAUUUGGCAACAAGAGAAAACAAAAGGUUUAUGUUUUGGAAAGUCUUAAGGAUACCAGAAAUGAUUUGAAUAUACGAUUCCAAAUCCCUGGGGGAAAAUAAAAAAAAAAAAAGAAAUGAAGAAAAGCACAAAGGAAAUAGUAUUCGCAUACCAAAGGAAAAAGUAUAAAACAAGGUGAUAGAAUUAAGAAAAAAAAGAAAUAUCAUAUAUAUGUAUAUAUACACAUACACACACACACAUAUAUAUGACUCAGGGUUAGGUUAAGAAAUAUAAUUCAAUUAUAAUCAACAUAAAACACUUAAAAAGAUAUAGAAACAUCCCAAGUAAAAGCUAAGCUCAGGUACCCUCACCAUUUCCACUGCUUCCCAAAUGCAUCUCUUCUCCAAAAAAAAUAAUGGGAUGACUACUUUCAUAGAAAGUAGGAUUCUGGCAAAAAAUUACAUAGCAUGAAGAAAGUUUUAUUACUGAGGAAGGGUACAAUUAGCAAUAAAGAAAUAAUAAAGAUAGACUUAUAUGUGCCAAAUAAGGCACCAUGAAAAUAAAGCAAAAGUUUGUAGAAAGCAUGUAGGUUAAGUGCAUAUUUACAUAACUCCCUCUUGGACUGCACCCAG
rnacentral:lncRNA from 1 species